UCGAGUUAGGGUCUUCUCAGGCCCGACCUCCCAACCCUUUGUCGAACUUACCACUUGUUGCUUCGGCGGGCCCGUCUCUCUCUUCACGGGGAGGGGCCGCCGGAGGACCGUCACACGUCCUCUGGCCCGCGCCCGUCGAUAGCCCCAUUUAUUAAAUUCUGAACAAAACGUGUCACAAUCUGAGUACCUAUUUGAAAAUAAAGCAA
rnacentral:misc_RNA from 1 species